AAAAAGCAUCUAUCUCGGCUUUGCUACCUUUUAAAACGCGGCUGAAUUGGUUCGGAAUCCUUGCCGAGCAGCUAAGAGGAUCCAGCCGGACGCGGUUCAUGAAGAGAAAAAAGAAGUGGUUGAUUAAUUUGAACUGUCAAUCCCAAGAUAACCCAAUACCCACAUCUGACUCUUUCAAUCAACACCCCUAGCAUCGUU